UCUGAAUUGCCUGGAAAAAAUUUAGCUCAUAGCCAUUUUUCUCGAGGUCAAGUGGCCUUUCACUCUUAAUAUAUAUAUUUAUAUAUAUUAAGGGAGUUCUCACACAUUUAGCAAUUUAGCAAUGCGGGCAAUAUUCGGGCAAUAUUCGACAAUUUUACCGGGCGAAAUCUCCGCGGCCCUGGCCCGACGGUAUGCAGUAUUAUGCUUUUGAGUUCGUAUUGGGCAGAGUUCGUUGAGAAAUUUUUGUUCUAUGUUUCUGCUUGUGGAUGUAGUCAAUCCAUUGUUGAUGAACCACUUAAAUUUGUGUCUUUUUUACGUUUUUGUUUUGUUUAUUAUUUGAUCAUUAGUCGGUAAUCUGUUACAACAGUUAAUCCGAGUAGUUUGAUCAAUCUCUUAAACUUAACUCCACGAGUAUCACACAAUAGUCCGAGCCAGAAAGGUUUCAGUUAUUCGUAAUAUCUGUUAGUCGUUACUCGUUCAGGUCGCCAACCAGCAGUGGCAAGUACUCUCUCUGUUGUGUUUCUUCCAUCUUCUCAUGUCCUGCAACCUCUCUUCCCCAUAUUUUAUGCACCAUUUUUCAGUUGAAACAAAUUUUCUUUUCACUUCUCCUAUAACAGUUUCUAUGUGGAACUGGAUAUGCUAGCCGAGGUUCCUCGAAUAAUUUUCACUUUUUAGGAGAUGUUCUCCAAUAGCAUAUUAUGCUUCUGACAUGGCAGAGCAUGGUUUAUUGUAUUCAAGAUAUCCAUGGGCUGUCAAUAGAAUCCUGAGCUACCGUGAUCCGGCUUCAUGAGGAAAUGAAUGAUUGCCUCAUCAAAUGUGAAUACUCGAGAUCUCUGUGUUGGGCUGUAUAAUUAAUUGUGUCUCUUUGUAUGUGACUUUAUAAGGUUGUACUGCUAGAUAAUGAAGCUUGAGUUUACAUAUUACUUAAUGAGAUCUCUUUACAUAUUACAAAUGGUCAGAAUUAUGUGCUUCUCCUAUUACUGGAUAUCGUGAUCUCCUUUUUUUUGUCACAGCAAUUUCUGCUUGUUUUCAUCGUCAUUUCCGUACAUAUUGCUAAGAAUCAGUAUAUUUUCCAAGUUAUGAACUGAUCCAUUCGAUAAUAUUGAUUACGCAUAGGUAUAGCUCAUCUUCUUGACAGAACUUCUGCUAUUCAUUUGUCUUUUAGAGUAUUGGCUUCACUUGAGGUAAAAGAAUCCACUUUCUAAGUUUUCUUGUUCAAUUUUGAAGUGAGGACAUGAGGGCCCAUGAAAUCUACUCUUCAAUAAAGAAAAGAAGAUGUUUUUGUAGCUUCUGAUUUCCUGUUUGAUCCCAGGCAAUCCCACUUCACUUUUAAUGCAUGUUUGAUUAUGGUAUGAAAAGAAGGCAGAAUUUAUUUACAUAAUUUUCCUGCAUCAUUGAGUUCAGUAAACUUUGGAAACAUUUAAAUUAAAUAAAAUGCUCGGUGAUGGGAACCAUUAUGGAGACGGUACCACUGUGACUUAAGCACAUGGGACUUGUUUGCUACUAUUCCUUUGUCUUCUUCAUGUGAAGGUAAUGUGACAUGUUUGUUUGUGUUCCAGUGCUUCAACCAGAAUCAUAGAUCUGAAGCUUUUAAUUACUUCUGUUCAACAUCACUUUCUCCUUACCUAAACUGUUUUAACCACUCCCAUGAUUUGCCUAACAUUGUUUCUUCCUAAGUCACUUGCAGACAGACAGAUUAUGGAAGGAUGCUCAAAUUAACCAUGGCUCUUCUUCAAGCAGAAUGUUACAGAAGCUUGAAAUGGUCAGUUUAUCAAAUCACUGAACCUGGUAAUUUUAACUUUCCACAAUCAAUGGUUGAUUAAGUGAAAUUAGUAUUUUGUGAAAUGGCCUGAGAUAAGUUUUCUUACAUGAGGUAUUUGUUAUUGUACUUCCAUUUAUUUUUGGCAAAAUUGUCCAAAAUUUGUUUGUGGUUUGGAUCCAGCUUCGUUUAAACUUAGGUUUCGAAGAGUUUUAAAAAUUUGAAAAAAAAAAGAAAAAAGUUAGUAUCUGAUUUAAUGUUUUAUAGGAGAAAAAAUAUAUUUGAUGUGAUAUUUUUCAAGAAUAAAUAGUGGUAAAUAAGUGAAAAUCGGUUGCGUAAACGGAGGACCAUUCUCUGUGGUGAUUUAAAAAAUGCACAAGAUGAUUUAGAAAAUAUUGCAUAGAAUCCUUUAAAAAUUACGCAAGACUCUUCGACCUUUAAAAAAAGAUUUUGUGCAAUAUUUUAUAAAUACUUUUCAUGCCGUUUCUAAAUCAUGACAAAGAAUACUUCAGAGUUUUCAAACUAUGUAAAUUAUGAACAAUUUUGCCUAUAUUUUGGAUGAGUUUUUGAUGAGUUAGGAAUCAAACAUGCUUACAUGCCAAUCUUUUCAACUCAAUGAUUCUUAUUCUCAGUAAAUAAUGACAUGGAGAUACAUGUAUAACACUCUCAACAAAAAAAUAAUGGAAACCCCAUAGAUCUUUCACCAAGAUACAGAGAAACCAAAACAUUCUAUCCUUUAGGAAUUUCGACACAUAUCACAGGCCUUUCCUCCUAACACUAACCAACCAAACAUCAUCGAUCACAGGACCGCACAUAGCGCCCGAAUUAUCACUUUUCAUGUGGUAGUAAGAGCUCAAGAAUCUAAUUCUAGUUCUCGUAGAAACAGCUUUGAACUUUAGUAUCCCGCGCUUGAAUCCUCCAUUCCCCUUCGAUUCAUAGGGAACCUGAAAUAGCAUCCUCCCUGCAGCUACCUCAACCAUCAUCGAUCCUUCACAUUGAUUCUUAGCAUCACCUACUGAAAAUACGAGCUGAUAUGUUCUUCCAGGCACAGUUCUAACCACCUGCGCCACCGCGCUUUCUCUUCCAGCCACCAAUUCAAUAGCCCUCUUGCCUUCGGGCACCUUAAAAUGCUCGGUAUCUAUGUAUUUUACAGCUUUAAGGGACUCUAUCAUCCAUCCAGGAAGUGGGGAGUGAUCAUCCUCAAUGUUGGGAGGUAUUAGGACACCCCAAGGUGUGUUUGGAAAGAUAUAUGGUCCUUCUUCGAAGUUUCCAUUCUUCAAUAGAUUGCCUGCAGAGUUAGAACUUUUAGAUAUUCAGCUGAUUUUUAGUUAAGUAGAUAAGAGAUAGAAGUCAAUAGAACUCACCUCUGCGCCGUGUAGGCUUGGAUAAUGCCUUUAGUGCAACAGAGUCGAUAAGUGGACCGCAGGCAGGAUCCCUUUCAACCCCUGGAUUGUGUAUAACAAUCUCGAUCUCAUUAGACUGAGCCAAGAAUCCCCAACAGUAGGAAUCCCAUCCAUCACUGCUGUACACAGUCUGGAUUGGGAAAAUGCCCCAAUCUUUUGGUUCUGAGUUUGGCGAAACCGAGACAUUGAGUUUCUCUUCUUGUGCACAUGUCCUGGCUGCACUGAAUGACACUGAAUAGAACAUUCCAUUUGUUACUUUGAGCUUGGUCUUGAUCGAUGCUUCAUCUCCUAGUCGGACGGCUCUGGCGCCCUCCGGCACCACUAGCAGCAUGUCCCCUUGUUUCUGGCCUGAUUUUAUGUAUUCUACAAAUCCAGAAAUCUCCCAAUUGGGAAUGGCAUGAGGAUCAAUCACUUUAGUCCCUUUCAUCUGUGAUGGCUUUGGGCCAUAUUCAAAGUUCCCAUUAGGCACUUGCCCUGUAAAAAAACAAAAAAAAUAUUUAAUCUUCAAGCUAGAUUUGAUCCAAGACACUGAAUGAUUGUAAAAAUGAUGAAAGAAUUGAUGAAACUUACCAUCAGGUAAAGAUAAUGAAAUUUGGAAAGUAGCAAACAGCAACACUAACAGUGUCUUCUUCAUCACUACCAUAGUUUCUUUCUGAUUGAUGAUCUUAUUGCCAAUGAGGGAGCUUGAGAAUAUAUAUAUAUACAUAUAGGGGUGGGUGUAAAGUGAAAUGACUAAACUACCCUCUAGGAUCUUUCAUCUGCACAUGCAUUUCACUGCUGUCUGCUGGUGAUGGUUUGUUAUUAUAAUAGUAAGAGUCGAUUUAUUCUGGGAAGGUCCAAGAUUUGUUCUGCACCAUCUUGAUAGACACUAUCUUGGCUCAUAAUUGCAUUAUAUUCUUCAUAUAUAUAUAUUUAUAUUUCAUGUUUGAAAAUAUAUUGUUGAGGGGAUCUGGAGAUGUGUCAGCUGAAUAGACACAUAGUACAUCUCUCUCACACACAAUUAAGAAGAAGAGAAUUAAUAAUUGGUGUGAUCAUAUGAUUCAAGAUGUGUUAGGGUGACAUGCCAUGUGAAGUCGAAAUUAUAUUAUUACUGGAAAUUUAAGAUAGAGGGGUGUGAGUGAAUUCCCUGUGCUUUUUUGUCUGUAAUAAUUCAGUAUUUAAUUUCUCAAGACAUGUGCAUACCUGACUCAACACCCUAAUUUUUAAGCAAUCACUGUUUUCAACACUUACUAGGCUGUCUUUCCUUUUCUUUUUUGUCUUUGUGCUUCACUUAGGUCGAGCAUCCAUAUGUUCUCAAAGUGAUUUCAACUAUUGGAGUUUUGAAAUUAGUUAUAGAAUAGUAUAUUUAUAUUUCUAUAAAACACUAUUGUUGGUGAGUAAUGUCAAAAAUAAUUUUUAAAAACCGAUAAAUAGAUCCAUAUAUAUAUAUAUAUAUAUAUUGGAUACUUCCGAUUGUGGAUAAAUAAAUUAAUGAUGCGUUUCUUUUAUAACUUAAGUUUUUAGAUGAGACGGUCGUUCGCACCCGACAAUAUAUAUAUUAUUCAUGUUUUUCUAGCCUUUAAAGUAUUCUUAGAAGUCAAGUUAUUUUUGUCUUUGUUCAUUCUAACACUUUUCAACUAUUAGUUCUUUCUUCUAUUUAUAUAUAUAUAUACAUUUUUUUUGGAACAUAAUUAACUUUAUUUUCACUACCAAAACAUCUCAAAUUAUAGUAGUAAUACAUUCAAUGAAAUAUACGUAUUUGAAACAAUAUACACAUAUGGAGCAUACAUAGUACAUACUUGUUCGAUUCGAUGUCGAUGUGAAAUCAUAUGCACAAGCCUUGUUCUUUAACUUCAUAGUCUUCUUCCUUUGCGUCACAUCGUACUUUUGAAUCGAAUCUUAUUGACUUGAUUCUCCAAAAUCCGUCGAAGAAGCCUAUAAUAUAAUCAUAUACAGUUAAAACGUCUAAACUUUAUAACGCGUAAACUUUACUAUUCAAUUUGUUCAUUCAUUAGCAAUGGAUAUUUUGUUUUAUGUACUUAAAUUCAUUUUAUCGAGCAUGCUAUAGAGUUUAGUCGUCGUUUCAAACCUUAGCGCGACAAUCCUUUCCAAAGCUCACCGUCCGAACCUUGAGCUCGCCCCGGCUCGUAGUUAACUCAUCGAAUAUCUCACCAUCACAUACCUCAUUUCCAUCUUCAUUAGGCCCUUCAUUACCCUAACAAAGUUAACAUUAGUACCAUGUUAGUUUUAAAUUAUAAUACGACUUUUUUUUGUUUGUUUUCAUGUACUAUUUAACAUCUGUAUCGAUAAAUACUCUGUAAAAUUAGUGCAUUCUUAGAGAAACAUGUUCUAUAGUUGAAAUAUCUUUGUCUACUAGACAUAUAUAUGCACAUACUCUAGAUGAGAGGCUCAAGGAUCGCCUCGGCUCCCCGACAAUUUCCUCGUACUCAGCUGCAUCAAGCUCGCGCAAAUAGUGCGCGUCGAAGACCUUUGGGAGGAUGUAUUGUCGGAUGAGUAUGAGAACAAAGAAUGGCACCGGGAAGAGUAUUCCGGCUAUGGGAAUCCAAGUGACGCCGUAGCACAAGAGCAAGUAGAGGAAUUGGAAUAUCGUGAAGGCUACAAUGCAUCGGAAUGGCACCGACUCCACGUACGAAGCAUGGACUUUUCCCAAAAUCCUAUAUUUGCUCCGGAUAGUCAGAGCAACGAAGAGGAAGACAAUUCUUUCCCACAGCUGGUUUCCGGGGAGGCUGUCGAUGGCCAUAUAUGCAAAAUAGCCCCAAAGAACUGAUGUCGGGAUGAGUCUGAUCGCCGGUAUGGCGAAAACGGAUGCAGCAACCAGCAACG